rnacentral:lncRNA from 10 species
CCACUCCACCUGAUGCCCCCACAGCCCUCACAGGGUCUGUCCUCCCAGCAUGCACCUGCCUCUCCCUGCACCCCAGAUGUCCACCCUGCCUGUUCCCUGACUUCCUCCAUCCUGUCCAGCAGGAUGGGCUGGGAAGUGGGAAAGCCUGUGUGCACAUUUCGUGGCAAGUAGGAGUGACACACCAUCCCUGGGAGGCACCUGCCAAACCCAACCCCAGAAGUCUCCCUGAGGUGGUUUUACCAAACCCAUAACCCACAACUGUGAUUGUGGUUUGGGGGUCAGCACCCGCUAGUGCCAGGGCACUACUGGGAAGCUGGGACCUGACCAAUGCCCAUGGUGUCUGUGGCCUGAGGACAGGGUGUCUUGGGGCCAUGAGGACAGGCCACCAAUGGCCAUUGGGUCAUAGGGCCUGAGCCCCAGUGUUUUUCCUUCCCUGGCUGCUUCUGGUUCAGUCCCAUUCAGGGCCCUAGAGCCCAAGAUGCAGCAUCCAAGGUUCCCUCCAGAAAUCCUGGUGGCUCGACUUAUUUUGUCAUGUUUCAUCUGAUAACAAAAAUAUCAUAUCAGCUGCACAGAAAAAUGGCUCAAAGUGCUUAAUGACUAGAAGAAAUCGAGGAGCAGCAAGAAGGUAAUGUGGAGAGGGGAGGACCUCCAUGACCGGUGUCUGCAGAGCCAGGGGUACAGGCACCCAGUGCAGUGACCUGGCACCACCUGCCUCUCAGAGGGUGGGUAGCACACUGUCCUUACCUGGGGGACAGCAGGCCUGGCCACCGGCUUUUCUCCCUGUCCCUGCAAGCAUCACAUUGCUGGAAGAGAAUUUCAUGCCAGAGCUUGGACCGUCCCUAGCUUGGGAGGUACGGGUUGUCUCUUGGUGACCUAAAUGAAAAAAUAGGUCCAGAACAGAGUUCCUGAUGCUGGGCACUCAUCCACUCUUUGAAUCAUGGGAGGGGAGGCCUAGUCCUAGGUAAACCUAACCUCUUUGAGGAACCACAGUGCCCAAGGCUGGAAACCUCCAGAAUCCUCCGGCCCCCGAUCCUCCCCAGGGACCCCUGUGGCCUGUCUCACCAGAGCAUUCUUCCAUCUGUAGAUGUUUCAGCUGCUGUACAAGGGAGUCCCAUUUCAGGUGUGGGGCUGGGCAUGGUCACUCCUGCUGGAUGUCUGGAAGGUGAAAACCAAGGACCUAGGGAAAUACCAGGUACAGCCUUUCCACCCUCAUCCAGAGCAGGACAAACAGGCCAGGUGGUAUCAGGAGCCCAGGUCUCCAGCUGGAGGGAAUGUCAACCCUGCAGUGGGAGCCCAUCACGCAUCCUAGGCACAGAUGCUAAUGUAGGCACCGCGGGUAAGCUGAGCUUGGUACCCCUCCCUGGCUUCAAAAAUAAGCCAAACAAGGAGCUUUCUGCAGAAUGAAACCUGUUUUUCAUCCAGAAGCACUGCUGACUGUUUGGUGGUUGCUGUUGGGGCAGUGAGCCUUUUGUCCAUUCUGAGAUUGGGCUGGUUUCUCCUCUUGGCCCUGCCCUACAGACCAUAAAGGAAAACAGCAAGAGGUCCGCAGCAAACAUCUACAGAUGGCCCUGGACAUCAGCCACAUUCUGAGAAACAUGUCAUGUUCUGGGAGGGCUAAGGCAUCAAGUAAGGCCUCUGGGGCUGGAGGAUCCCAGGGCAGGUGGGGCAAUCCAGAGCUGUGGGGGCUUCCAUGGGAAUUGGGAGGUCUCAAGGCAGAGGGAGGGGUUCCACAGGAGGAGUCACAGAGCCACCAAGGGGUCUCCUGGCCCAGGGAGCAGCCAACACCAUGGACUGAACACCCGCUGGGCUCCAAGCCCUGGGCCAGGCUGGGGCAUAUGGGGCCAGGAGGCAGCUCAGAGUGGGAGACAGAGAGACAAGUGUGCUCAGAGGGCACCCGUAUCUGGAUGUAGUGUGGUCCUGAGUUUCUGGCUGGGAAGCGCUUCCAGGGUUUCAUAUGUAUUAUGGAGCUGCUUCCUCUCUCCAGGCUCACCCUGCAGGAAUCCCAGUGAAUAUAUUGCCACCAUCUUGGAGCUCAGUGCCCUCUUAGUGUAAUGGCACCAGCAGAUCUGCCUGUGCACGGACUUCCUGUACUACCUCACUCCUGAGGGGAGAUGCUUCUGCAGGGCCUAUGACCUGGUGCACAACUUUAGACACCAUCAUCCUGGAGCAGCACCUCACCCUCACUUGCCGGGGUGUUGAUGACUUCCUCAAGGCUAAGGCCACAUUCAAGAUUUUGGACUUCAGUGAUGCAUUUUUGCUGAGCAAGGUGGGCUUCUCCGGGAUUUUAGUUCAGGAGGUAGAAUGCAGCUUGAGAUCAAGUGUCUGAUCAAAUAACUUGAACUUGAUCUGGAGAGCUCUGGGGAGCCAUAGAAGUUGUUGGAUAAAGGAGGGACAGUCGUAUAUGUUUUAGAGAUGACUGUGGAAGGCUGCCUGGAAGGAGUGAACAAGAGCCAGGAGACCAGGGAGGGAGCUUGUGGGGCAGGUCUGGAGAUGACAAGGGAGGGAUCCUGCUUUGAUGAAAGGUCUUCAGGGAAUGUCUCAGGUUACACUCAGGUGUCCUCAGAGCUAGUGUGUUCAGGGGUCUUGCCUCCAGGAUGAAAAUGAGAAGGAGUUGUCAGACAAGAACAUAUAAAUGAAGGCUGGCAUCUUCGUGAGUGCCAAUCGUUGUCCUGGUGUGGACUACUGUGGGAAUAGGGGUCUCUCCAUCCAGGGACAUGGUGGAUGGACCCUACAUCACUCCAUUCUGCCCUUCCUUUCCCUCCCAUUCUGAGGGCCUCAGUGCAAGGGCGCUGUCCAACCUCUGGUGCUGAAGCAGCCGAGAGACCCAAGCCUGCCACUCAGGAUAUGACAGCACAGCCAGUGGCCUCUACUGGAUCCUGUACAACCUCAGAAGACACCUAGACACUGGGAGUGCUGCCACCACGUGGUGCAAGAGUUCUGAGGGACCGCAAUUCUGAAGACAUUGAAUGCUGCUUCCUGCUCCCUCCAUGGACCUGCACAGAAUUGUCCCAUGUUUCUGUUUGUUUGGGCACCACUGAGGAAGGAAGCAUGAAGGACGCAGAGCCAUUUUGCAAACCCUGGUCAGAAUGAAACAUUCCUUGGGAACUCGGGCCAUGAGAAGCAUCCUUCCUGACCACCUGACUGCGGAAACAUCCUUAUCGCAUCCUCCCGGGCGAAGGCCCAACAGCCUGACUGCAGGAACAUCCUUGCCAUAUCCUGCCGGGCAGCAAGCUCUACCGCCCAGACCCCUCCUUCCCAGUCCCAUGAUCGCCCCAGCCUGUGAGCGGCAGUUGGUGAUGGCACUAAGCUGAUUUCCUCCUCUGCAGGGUUUUGCUAGUAAUAAAGGUGUUGCUGUUGAAGCCACCAACCAUGUCUCUC